GACAGAGGAUGCAAGCGUUAUCCGGAAUGAUUGGGAGUAAAGCGUCUGUAGGUGGAUUUUUAAGUCUGCCGUCAAAUCCCAGGGCUUAACCCUGGACAGGCGGUGGAAACUACCAAGCUGGAGUACGGUAGGGGCAGGGGGAAUUUCCGGUGGAGCGGUGAAAUGCGUAGAGAUCGGGAGGAAGGCCGGUGGCGAAGGCGGCGCUCUGGAACAUUUCUGACGCUGAGGCUCGAAAGCGUGGGGAGCAAACAGG
rnacentral:rRNA from 1 species